CAAUAGCGUAUAUUAAAGCUGUUGCGGUUAAAAAGCUCGUAGUUGGAUUUCUGUCAAGGACAACUGGUCCGCCCUCCGGGUGAGCACAUAGUUUGGUCUUGACAUCUUGCUGGAAGCUGUUGCUGCACUUGGCUGUGUGGCGCGGUGUUCAGCACUUUCACUUUGAGGAAAUUGGAGUGUUUCAAGCAGGCACAUGCCUUUGGACACAGUAGCAUGGAAUAAUUAGAUUGGGCUUUUGCUCCAAUUUGUCGGUUUCUGGAGCUGAGGUGAGUAUUAAUGGGGAUUGUUGGGGGCAUCCGAAUUUAGCCGUCAGAGGUGAAAUUCUUGGAUCUGCUAAAGACGGACAACUGCGAAANCGNNNGCCCAGGAUGUUUUCAUNGA
rnacentral:rRNA from 1 species